rnacentral:tRNA from 10 species
GCCGUGGUAACAGGCCUCCGGUGGAGGGCGGGGACCCUCGGAAGCCAGCUGGGUGGCGAUCGCUUGUCUGCCUUGGCAGGCCCCUUGUGCAGUCUUUUCCCGGCGUGAGCGUGCAGGGAUUGAAAAGGAAUGCUUUAUGGUUCAGCAGAGAGCCACCACGCAGGAUGCACUGGGACCUGAGAACCGUCGGGCAGUCCCACGAGCUCUUUCAUGACCAGCUCCAACCGACAAGUACACGCCCCUUCGCACUCCACUAGCUAGUAAGCUGAGCUACAAGGUGUGCCAGGCACCCAGGACGCCGAUUCACCGCUUCAGGUGGGCUGUUUGUGCUGUGUCCCCAGAAAGCCUUUGCUACUUAUCCAUCAGUCUUAGCUGGGGCAGGAGUCCCUUCUUCCAAAAGGCUUCUCUGAGCCUCUCUGGGACCUUGAGUUAGGAAUUUUGACCCUACCGUGGGUCUGGAUUAUUCUAUUAAUUUUUUUUAACAGUGCCUCAUUCUUUCGCCCGGGCUGGAGUGCAGUGGCAAAAUCACGGCUCAUUGCAGCCUCGACCUCCUGGGCUCAAGUGAUCCUCCCACCUCACCCUCCUAAGUAGCUGGGAAUACAGGCACAUGCCACCAGGCCCAGCUAAUUUUAAAAUUUUUUUGUAAAGAUGGGGUUCUGGCCAUAUUUCCCAGACUAGUCUCAAACUCCCAGGCUCAAGCGAUCCUCCAGUCUCGGGCUCCCAAAGUGUUGGGAUUACAGGCAUGAGCCACCAGGCCUGGCCACAUUGUCUUUUAACACAUGUAAGCAGCCACCCUCCUUCCCACACACACACAAAAUACUGUGAAUUCUUCAAGCAAAAGGACUUUGUCUGAUUCAUCUCUGGAUCCCCAGUGCCUGACAGAGAAUCAGGAAAUUUUUUUUUUUUUUUUUUGCAGUGAAGGCCCAGCUCAAAUGCCACCUCUUCCAUGAAGACUUCCGUGAUCCACAAUGAUAGCAUCUCCAGCAAUUGCUUCUAUAAUGAAUAGCAUGAGUCAUUCUGCAGGAUGUUGAUCUUCCUUUUUUUACUCCUAGACUGAAUUUUUCCACCACCUGGAUGAACAUAGCAGAAAGAACAUAGUGUUUUAGAGUCAGACACAAUAGGAAUCAGGCACUUUGGAAUCUUGGCUCUACCACCUUUGAGCUAUGUAUCCCAAGGCAAGUCACUUCCCCUCUCUCAGCUUUAAAAUAGUAAUAGGAUUGCUGUAGGGAUUAAAGUAAAUCAACAUAUGUAAAGUGCCCACACAGGACCUGGCAUAUAGUAGUUGCAUUUUAAAUUUUUUAAACAAAAUGUAAGCAUACUAUCUUUCCAGGGUGUUCAGAAGCCUGAAAAACACCUUGGAUCUUUUCUCAGAGCUGGAUCACAAAGAUGUCACACUGUCUCCUGUUCUGACACACUGAGUGGUUCCUCAUGGCUGGAGCCUGGGGCGUGUGGUCAGGUGUUUGUUGAGAAAGGAGUCGCUUGAUCAGGUGUUUGUUGAGAAAGGAGUCACUGGGAAAUCCCAAAUAUUAUCUGAUUGAACUCAUGUGGUGCCAAGAUCUGGGGGAAUUUCACAGAAAACACAUUUCUGUUUCUAAGCUGUAUUAGUUUUCUGAGGCUGCCAUAACACAUUAUCACAAUUCUUGCUUGAGCCCAAGAAUUUGGGACCAGCCUGGGCAACAUGGCAAAACCUUGUCUCUACAAAAAUACAAAAAUUAGCCCAGCAUGUCGUUUUCACCUAUAGUCCCAGCUACUGAGGAGGCUGAGGUGGGAGGAUUACCUGAGCCUGGGGAGGUUGAGGCUGCAGUGAGUCAAGAUCAUGCCACUGUACUCCAGCUUGGGCAACAGACUGAGACCCCAUAUCAAAAACAAACGAAGAGUGAUCAUCCAGUUACUCACUGCUGGGUCUGAGGGAAGCCCAAAGGCAGUGGGAGCCAGAGAAAAUAGUUGAGAGUCAGAUUUCACAGUGGAGGUGACAUUGAAACAGGGUAUUGAAGGGCCAAUAAGAGUUCACCAAGUCAGGAGAGAGGGAGGAAAGGACAUUCCAGCAGAGAGCAGGAUCUAUUCUUUCCACAAGCCUUUACUGAGGUUCACCUUUGCACAGGCUAGCUACUGGGUUCUGGAAAUGCAGAGCUCAAGUAAACAACCCUUCUCCCACUUUUCCCAAAUGCCGAAAACAUUAGGAGAACUAGGACUCUCAUCCCUAGGGGCAUUGGGAAGAACUCAAAAGCCUGCUGCUUGCAAAGUAUUCAAGAUGAUGUAAAGCAUUUAACACACUGUCUGGGAGAUAGUACAUUUUUAAUAAAUACUAGCUGUCAUUAUUUUCAUAUGUCCUAUUUCAUUCUAAAAACUUUUCUUUCUUGUUUUUGAGACAGAGUCUCUCUCUGUGACUCAGGCUGGAGUGCAGUGGUGCGAUCUCAGCUCACUGCUACCUCUGCCUCCCAGGUUCAAGUGAUUCUCCUGCCUCAGCCUCCCAAGUAGCUGGGACUACAGGCAUGCACCACCACACCCAGCUAAGUUUUUUUGUAUUUUUAGUAGAGACAGGAUUUCACCAUGUUGGUCAGGGUGGUCUUGAACUCCUGACCUCAAAUGAUCCACCCACCUCAGCCUCCCAAAGUGCUGGGAUUACAGGCAUGAGCCACCGCGCCCGGCCCUAAAAACUCUUUUAUUAUUGGGAUCCUAUUUCAUAAUAUGGCUGAUUGUUUCAACAUAAAAAUAUUUUAAAUCACAGAAUUAAAUUAUUAUAAUAUUUACAUAGUGCUAUAUAUCCCCCAGAGAAACAUAUAUCCAAGUUUAGAGAACAUAGAUUAUAAGGUGGCCAAAUGCAAUGUAUAUGCAAUGAUAGAAGGGGUCCAAGGUCAAGUGGUAAGAGUGACCAACUCUUCAGGAGCUGGUGGGCAAGGUCAGAGCAGGCUUCACCAAAGUUAUAAAGGAUGAUUGGGAGUUUAGUAGAUGAACAAUAGGUGUUUAGAUCUGUUUGGCUCGGGAAUAGCUAGUGUUUUAACAGCUAAUUAGUACCAUGUUGGGUAUUUAAAUCAAACAUUCAGUUUCCAGGGCCAAAAAGCUAAGCCUACCCCAAUCCAUUUGCCUCCACUUCCUCCUCCCACCUCAUGGGCCUGAUGCAUUGGGUAAACAAGAGCAAGAUAGGGCAGAUGGGUCUUUCAGUGUCUCAAACUGUAUUGAGUUAAAUCUAUCCCCUUCCUUUCAACAGAGCCCUCUUUCUUCCAUUCACUUACCUGUCUAGUCAAACACCCAUCAGACCUUUGCCAGGUGUCCAGCCUGGGCACUACGUUUCAGAAAAUGAUGCACAUAGAAUCCCUAACUGAAAGGAGAUCGCAGCUCAUUUGGUACAAAGUGGUAAGUACAAUAAUCGAGAUGAUGUAUAAAGUACAGUGGAAGCACUAAGAGAAAGGUGCUAACUGUCACGUGUUGUCCAGGAAGGCUUCCUAGGAGAGGAGAGUAUUCUAUGCAGGAGGAACAGCAUGAGCAAAGGCACAGGGGUAGAGGAAGUGACAGCAGCAGAGUCUAACAUGGCUGAAACAAAGGCUGCAUGGGAGAGCAACAGGCAAAAAGAUUGGAAGAGGAAGCUAGGGCCGGGUGAGAAGAACCUGACUACCAGGCCGAAGAACAUGAGUUUCAUCGUGGGCAACAGAAAGCACUUAGAAAGAUGGCUCAGGCAGCCUUGGGGGAGGGGUAGCUUUGAAGGGGCAGGACUAGAAGAGUGAGACGCUUGCAGAAAGCAGGUGAGAAUUGUAAAAGAAAAAGGCCAUUCCCCAAAGAAACUGCACAUACCCAAGAACCCUGAAAGGCAGGUGCCUAGACAGCAUUUUCCCUUCUCCUUUCCCAACUCGGCAAGGUCAUUUUCUCAAAAAAGGCUUCCCAGGUCUGAACGAACUGCUACUUCCUCUGGGCUCCUACAGCAGCUGUCUGACCUCUCUUCAGUAUGUGUAACUGUGUGCCUAGUCAUAUAUUGAGCAGUCUACAUUUGUCCCUCCCACUCUGCUGUGAACCUCUGCUUUUGAUUUCUCUGAGUCCCCAGCAUCCCAACACAGAAGACAGGCUCCAUAGCGUCAUUGAGCAAAUGGCUGAAUGAAUGAAGUCAAUGAAUGAAUGGACAAAUACUUGAGUAAGUGAAUGUUUGGAUCACAUGGGGGCCUCCAUUCCUCCCGACUAGACACAGCCCCCAGAGAGGGGAAAUGAGCUUGCUAAGGUCACACAAAGUUUGUAGCAAAGCUAAGACAAAGAGUUGGGCCUUUUGUCCCCAAGACCAAUGCUCUUUCCUCAGUUCCAGUGGUUUUCCCACUGCCACUGACUGUAAAGGUGCCAGUGUGAACACAGGAGCUUGUGAAUGUGCAGGCCAGUGAGGGUAACACGUAUGGGAAAUAAGCACAUCUAACCCAGGGAGCUGAUAUACCGAGAGUUGUCCAGAGAAAACUUUCCUUGGGAACUGAUGUUUGCAGUGAGGUCUGAAAGAUGAGUAGGAGUUAACUGGACAAAGGAGGCUAGUGAGGGCAGGGGAAGCUGUUGGAUAAAGGAACAGGAGGAACAGCCCAUGAAGGACUAUAUGGAGCAUUGCAGCAACUCAAAGAGAAGGCCAGCUGGUGCCAAGGAGGAAGAGGAGAACACUUUCGAAAGAAAUUGGUAUUUCAAAACCAAAACCAAACCAAAGACCACCUUCAGUUUCUUUAACAGUUUAGUGUUGUUCUUACUGGUAAUUUUAUUUACUUAUUUAUUUAUUUAUUUUUGAGACAGGGUCUUGCUCUGUCACCCAGUCUUGAGUACAGUGGUGUGAUCAUGAUUCACUGCAGCCUCAACCUCCUCCCAGGCUCAGUCGAUCCUCCCAAAUAGCUGAGACUACAGCGCAUUGCCACACCUGGCUAAUUUUUGUAUUGUUUGUAGAGAUGGCUUUUGCUAUGUUACCCAGGUUGGUCUCGAACUCCUGGGCUCAAGUGAUCUGUCUGCCUUGGCCUUCCCAAAUGCUGAGAUUACAGGUGUGCAUCACUGCACCUGGCCCUUAUUUGUAAUUUUAUAUAGUAGAAGCAGCACUAUCCUUUGGUGCUUAGAGCUUCUGAAGUCCUAAUCCAGCCCUGACGGCAUAGAAUGAGGCUGGAGAUGCUGGCAGGGCCAGGUCCUGCCAGGCAUUGUAGGCCACAGUGGAGUUUGGAUUUCUUUGAGGCUCAUGGACAACUAUUAAGGGGUUUAAGCAGGGGAGUUACAUGCUCUCAUUUAUGCUUCAGAAAUGUCACUCUGGCUGCUGUGUUGAGUAGAUUCGGGGGUGGGCAAAGCAGUGAAAAUGGUGAUGAUAAAUUGUGACAUUUCUUCAUUGAGUUUGAGGACAGUUAGGACAAAAAUGUGCUGAGUUCCUGGUAAUAAAGGCACUCAAGGGACGUCUGAUUUCCCUGUUAGGCUGAUUCUUUGACUGGUGAGCCACUCCCCAGGCAGGCAUAGCAUCACAGAGUUUCUGAGAAGGUACACCCUGGAUGCAAAGCAGUGUUGCUGAAAGACUCCAUGCCAGGGGUAAGCAUCUGGAGACCAGUCUGAACCUUUAGCUUAUUCAUUGCAUGAUUUUAGACAAAUCAAUUCCCCUCUAUGAGUCUGCAGGUUUCCCUAGGACCUAGAGGGAACUAACAUUUGCUAAGUGUUUUACAUACAUUAUUACUCUGGUCAAUCCCCACAGGAUCCUGUGAAGUAGGUAUUAUUUAUUUGUUUUAUUUUAUUUUUUGAGACAGAGUCUCACUCUUUCACCCAGGCUGGAGUGCAGUGGCACGAUCUCGGCUCACUGCAACCUCCACCUCCCAAGUUCAAGCAAUUCUCCUUCCCAAGAAGCUGGGACUACAGGUGUUAGCCACCAUGCUCAGGUAAUUUUUGUAGAGAUGGGGUUUUACCAUGUUGGCCAGGCUGGUCUCAAACUCCUCACCUCAGGUGCUCCACCCACCUCAGCCUCCCAAAGUUCUGAGAUUACAGGUAUAAGCCACCGAGCCUGGCU